UACGAAGGGAGCUAGCGUUGUUCGGAUUCACUGGGCGUAAAGGGUGCGUAGGUGGUGAGGUAAGUCGGAUGUGAAAUCUCCAAGCUCAACUUGGAAACUGCAUUGGAAACUACCUUGCUAGAGGAUUUGAGGGGGGAUUGGAAUACUUGGUGUAGCAGUGAAAUGCGUAGAUAUCAAGUGGAACACCAGUGGCGAAGGCGAAUCCCUGGAAAAUACCUGACACUGAGGCACGAAAGCUAGGGGAGCAAACAGG
rnacentral:rRNA from 1 species